GCCGUGUGGAGGUGAACCAUCGGGUGUCAUUUCCUGGCUCAGGGUCAGUGGUUACCUGGAACACGUCUGCCCAGAGGAUGAAUGGGAGCAUGUGAAGCCCUAAGUUCUGAGUCAGACCAGGCACACCCCCACUUUAUUCAUGCUCCACUGGUGGCCAAAACAAGGAAGAUUAGCCCUGAGCUAACAUCUGCCGCCAAUCCUCUUUUUGGCUGAGGAAGACUAGCCCUGAGCCAACAUCCGUGCCCAUCUUCCUCUACUUUAUAUGUGGGACGCCUGCUACAGCAUGGCUUGACAAGCGGCGUGUAGGUUUGCAUCCAGGAUCUGAACCAGUGAACCCUGGUCCGCUGGCCCCUAUAUACAUUUUUUUAAUAUAUUCUUAAUAAAAGUCCUUGAUGAGGUUGUGAUUUGCAAAUAUUGUGUCCCAAUCUGUGGCUUGCCUUUUCGUUUUCUUAACCACGUUAUUUGAAGAGUAGAUGUUUCUAAUUUGAUAAAGUCUAUUUUAUUCAUUUUUUUCUUUUAAGGAUCAUGCUUUCUGUGUCCUAAGAAUUCUUUGCCUAACCCAAGGUCACAAAGAUUUUCUUCUAGAAGUUCUGUAGUCUUAGCUCUUACUUUGGGUCUAUGAUUCAUUCUAACUUAACUUUUUCAUAUACUAAGA
rnacentral:lncRNA from 1 species